UUGACCUCGGAUCAGGUAGGGAUACCCGCUGAACUUAAGCAUAUCAAUAAGCGGAGGAAAAGAAACCAACAGGGAUUGCCCUAGUAACGGCGAGUGAAGCGGCAACAGCUCAAAUUUGAAAUCUGGCUCUUUCAGAGUCCGAGUUGUAAUUUGCAGAGGGCGCUUUGGUGUUGGCAGCGGUCCAAGUUCCUUGGAACAGGACGUCACAGAGGGUGAGAAUCCCGUACGUGGUCGCUAGCCUUCGCCGUGUAAAGCCCCUUCGACGAGUCGAGUUGUUUGGGAAUGCAGCUCUAAAUGGGAGGUAAAUUUCUUCUAAAGCUAAAUACUGGCCAGAGACCGAUAGCGCACAAGUAGAGUGAUCGAAAGAUGAAAAGCACUUUGGAAAGAGAGUCAAAUAGCACGUGAAAUUGUUGAAAGGGAAGCGCUUGCAGCCAGACUUGCCUGUAGUUGCUUAUCCGGACUUUUGUCCGGUGCACUCUUCUGCGGGCAGGCCAGCAUCAGUUUGGGCGGUUGGAUAAAGGUCUCUGUCAUGUACCUCUCUUCGGGGAGAACUUAUAGGGGAGACGACAUGCAACCAGCCUGGAU
rnacentral:rRNA from 1 species